rnacentral:rRNA from 1 species
CUGGCUCAGGAUGAACGCUAGCUACAGGCUUAACACAUGCAAGUCGAGGGCAGCACGGGAGUUGCUGCAACUUCUGGUGGCGACCGGCGAAUGGGCGAGUAACGCGUAUCCAACCUGCCCUGUGCCCGGGAAUAGCCCUUGGAAACGAGGAUUAACGCCCGAUGGCGUGCAUUGACCGCAUGGGAUAUGCACUAAAUGGAAAGGCACGGGAUGGGGAUGCGUUCCAUUAGGUUGUUGGCGGGGUAACGGCCCACCAAGCCGUCGAUGGAUAGGGGUUCUGAGAGGAAGGUCCCCCACAUUGGAACUGAGACACGGUCCAAACUCCUACGGGAGGCAGCAGUGAGGAAUAUUGGUCAAUGGGCGGAAGCCUGAACCAGCCAAAGUAGCGUGAGGGAUGACGGCCCUACGGGUUGUAAACCUCUUUUAUGCGGGGAUAAAGUGCGCCACGCGUGGCGUUUUGCAGGUACCGCACGAAUAAGGACCGGCUAAUUCCGUGCCAGCCGCCGC